GUCUCAGUUCGGAUUGUAGGCUGAAACUCGCCUACAUGAAGCUGGAGUUGCUAGUAAUCGCGAAUCAGCAUGUCGCGGUGAAUACGUUCCCGGGCCUUGUACACACCGCCCGUCACACCAUGAGAGUUGGCAAUACCCAACGUACGUGAUCUAACCCGCAAGGGAGGAAGCGUCCUAAGGUAGGGUCAGCGAUUGGGGUGAAGUCGUAACAAGGUAAC
rnacentral:rRNA from 1 species